rnacentral:rRNA from 1 species
GGGGGAAUAUUGCACAAUGGGGGAAACCCUGAUGCAGCAACGCCGCGUGAGUGAUGAAGGUUUUCGGAACGUAAAGCUCUGUCUUUGGGGAAGAUAAUGACGGUACCCAAGGAGGAAGCCACGGCUAACUACGUGCCAGCAGCCGCGGUAAUACGUAGGUGGCGAGCGUUAUCCGGAUUUACUGGGCGUAAAGGGAGCGUAGGCGGAUGAUUAAGUGGGAUGUGGAAUACCCGGGCCCAACUUGGGUGCUGCAUUCCAAACUGGUUAUCUAGAGUGCAGGAGAGGAGAGUGGAAUUCCUAGUGUAGCGGUGAAAUGCGUAGAGAUUAGGAAGAACACCAGUGGCGAAGGCGACUCUCUGGACUGUAACUGACGCUGAGGCUCGAAAGCGUGGGGAGCAAACAG